rnacentral:rRNA from 1 species
UACGGGGGGAGCAAGCGUUGUUCGGAUUUACUGGGCGUAAAGGGCGCGUAGGCGGUCAGCACAAGUCAGUUGUGAAAUCUCCGGGCUUAACUCGGAAAGGUCAACUGAUACUGUGCGACUAGAGUGCAGAAGGGGCAACUGGAAUUCUCGGUGUAGCGGUGAAAUGCGUAGAUAUCGAGAGGAAUACCGGUGGCGAAGGCGGCAUCCUGGACCAUUACUGACGCUGAGGCGCGAAAGCUAGGGGAGCAAACGGG